CACGGGGGGAGCAAGCGUUGUUCGGAAUCACUGGGCGUAAAGGGCGUGUAGGCGGUCAGGUAAGUGGGAUGUGAAAGCCCUCGGCUCACCCGAGGAUCUGCAUCUCAAACUGCCUGGCUUGAGUAUGGGAGAGGAUGAGGGAAUUCCUGGUGUAGCGGUGAAAUGCGUAGAUAUCUGGAGGAACACCGGUGGCGAAGGCGCCCACCUGGCCUGCUACUGACGCUGAUGCGCGAAAGCUAGGGGAGCAAACGGG
rnacentral:rRNA from 1 species